rnacentral:rRNA from 1 species
CAAGUCGAACGAACCCUUCGGGGUUAGUGGCGCACGGGUGCGUAACGCGUGGGGAUCUGCCCUUUGCUUCGGAAUAACAGUUAGAAAUGACUGCUAAUACCGGAUGAUGUCGAAAGACCAAAGAUUUAUCGGCAAAGGAUGAACCCGCGUAGGAUUAGCUAGUUGGUGGGGUAAAGGCCUACCAAGGCGACGAUCCCUAGCUGGUCUGAGAGGAUGAUCAGCCACACUGGAACUGAGACACGGUCCAGACUCCUACGGGAGGCAGCAGUGGGGAAUAUUGGACAAUGGGCGAAAGCCUGAUCCAGCCAUGCCGCGUGUGUGAAGAAGGCCUUCGGGUUGUAAAGCACUUUAAGCGAGGAGGAAGGUUCGCUGGCUAAUAUCCAGCGGAAUUGACGUUACUCGCAGAAUAAGCACCGGCUAACUCUGUGCCAGCAGCCCGCGGUAAUACAGAGGGUGCAAGCGGUAAUCGGA